rnacentral:rRNA from 1 species
GACGAACGCUGGCGGCGUGCUUAACACAUGCAAGUCGUGCGGUAAGGCCCUUUCGGGGGUCCACGAGCGGCGAACGGGUGAGUAACACGUGAGCAACCUGCCCUUCCCUUUGGGAUAACUGCCGGAAACGGUGGCUAAUACAGGAUAUGACUUCCUCACGCCUGUGGGGUGGUGGAAAGCCUUCGGGUGGUGGGGGAUGGGCUCGCGGUCUAUCAGCUUGUUGGUGGGGUGAUGGCCUACCAAGGCUUCGACGGGUAGCCGGCCUGAGAGGGUGACCGGCCACACUGGGACUGAGACACGGCCCAGACUCCUACGGGAGGCAGCAGUGGGGAAUAUUGGACAAUGGGCGAAAGCCUGAUCCAGCAACGCCGCGUGAGGGAUGACGGCCUUCGGGUUGUAAACCGCUUUCGCCUGCGACGAAGCGAGAGUGACGGUAGCAGGUAAAGAAGCACCGGCCAACUACGUG